GCGGUAUUAAUGCUAGACGAAACGGUCCCAUUUGGUUAACCAAGAGAUGGCCCAUAUAAAGCAACCUAAGUCCAAAAUGAGGUCAAGGUCAAGGUCAAACUGAGGUCAGGUGAUGUCUGAAGAUGAGGAAUGGUCAUAGGUUACAUCUGUAUUAGUAUCAAGUCAUUCUAGUAAGGGGU
rnacentral:lncRNA from 1 species